AGGCAAACCAGAGAGAGAGGGAGCCUAAAGAAGUGAUAUUCCACCCUGCGUGCUUUGAACGUGGUGACCGAAUCAAAAACAAAGUCCUUCAGAUCUCUCUGGGGCUAAAGGGAAACUGCUAAAAUACCCUUUUAGCCUCUUCUUGCAAGACAUAUCAGAGAUCUCAGGGGAAGCUUGUUGUCCUUCUUCUUCCAGCCAAGUUCCAUAGUCAGAGGAACUCUGGAUAACUUCUAAUUUACCCUUUGAAUCUUAAAACAUCGCUUCAAAAUUGGCGAUGCUGGCGGUAACCUUUGGUGCCGCGGCGGGAAGGAAACACCGAAAGUGUUAUCACCGGGAAGACAAGAGGGUCGGUCUGUCCUGCGGCAGGUAAGCGUUCACGGCGUCGCUGUCACUGCUUUCGCUGCAGAGGGGGGUGAGGUGCGGGGAGGACGCGGCUCUGCGGGGGGAAAAGACCCCGGAGGCAUCUGCGGUGCCGCGGUUUAAAAGCGGCCGAGGACGAUGCGCAAGGGACAGAGCGG